rnacentral:rRNA from 1 species
GUGCAGCAGGCGCGAAUCUUCCCCAAUGGACGAAAGUCUGAGGGAGCGACGCCGCGUGAAUGAAGAAGCCCUUCGGGGUGUAAAUCUUUCUUUAGGAAAAUUCGUGAUGGUACUAAAGGAAUAAGGGGCCGCCAAACUCGUGCCAGCAGCGGCGGUAAUACGAGUGCCCCGAGCGUUAUCCGGAAUUACUGGGCGUAAAGCGCUAAAAGGCGGUUUGAUAAGUCAGACGUCAAAUCUCCGAGCUCAAC